rnacentral:tRNA from 1 species
GGUUCCAUGGUGCAAUGGUUAGCACUCUGGACUCUGAAUCUACCCAUCUGAAUUCAAAUCUUGGUGGAACCU